GCAAUAUAUAGGCCUUCUGCAAUUCGCAAAAGACAGGAAACCGAAACUGAUGCGUAGCUGCUUUGCCAAAGUUUCGAUUCUGACAAGUGACAAUAGACUACCUCUCCUGUUUGAGGAACGACAAAAUCUCAGAGGCCUCGCCAACUCUCUUCUUGUUAGCCUGCCACCUCUGUGAUCCCCUGAGAAGUGCCUCUUCCCAGCCUGCCUCCUUUCCCAACUCUCAAUCCAAAUCUGCUGGUAGUUGUUCCCAUAGGCCUCAGCCAGGUUCACCCUGGUGUGGUCGUUGGAGGGCUUCAGAUCCACGGCUCUGGAGAAGUGAAGGAUGCAGACCUCCACCUUCGCUUUUAUCCUUGAUGUCAGCCUUUUUUAUUCCCCAUGUAAUGUGACGUUCAAGUGCUUUCAGCUUGACUUCCAUAUCUGCUUUGACCUCUGUGAGGAAAAAGAAAAAAUACGAAUUAUUAUAAAUUAUUAUAUUAUUACUUUCAACAUUGUUAUCGUUGUUAACAGUCAUAAUCAUCCUCAUCUUCAACACAACAGCAUUGUUUGUUAUUGUGAUAAAGUAGUUCAGAGAGAUAGAUUAUGUGCAUGUAAUUCAAUUAUUUUACAAUUGGUGUAAAAUUCUUACCUCGUUUUAUUUUCGAUGGCAGAUAAGAUAUAUGACCACAGUAUUGAGGUAAUAAAAAUCUGAGACUACUGCAAACCAAUAAUGUAUAUAAACCCUGGAUUGUGAUUUUUCUAUGUAUUGACCAUUGAGAGGCUUUGAAGCCACCGGUUGGCCAUAUUGGCACUCCCCAGUAGGAGCAGUCCUCCAUAGGAAUGAAUGGAAAUUUACAGUAUUUCAAUUCAAUGUUUCAAGGACAAAAUUACAUGUAUUUAAGUAUUUUUAUUGUUGUAAUGGUAACAGUACAUUAGUUAUCUAAAAAAAAGUACUUUAAGGAAAAUGUUAUACAUAUAUAUAUAUAUAUAUAUAUAUACACUGCUCAAAA